UCCCCCGCCGCCACGGCCCGCUCGGGCCCGCCCUGCCCUGCCCUGCCCUGCCGCGGCCCCGGUAUCCCCCCGACCCCAUCCCCGCUCCCUCCCGCUCCGCGUUGCCCCGGCGCGGUGCCGGGCGCAUGGCGGCGGGGGCGGGCGGCGCGGCCCUGGGGCGGGCGGCGCUGGCGGCGCCGCUGGUGCUGCUCUACUACGGCUUCUCCAUCGGCAUCACCUUCUACAACAAGUGGCUGAUGAAGAGUUUCCCGUUCCCGCUGUUGGUCACGCUGCUGCACCUGCUGCUCAUCUUCGCUCUGGCGGCGCUCGGCCGUGCCCUGGCGCGGUGCCGCUCCGGGCGGCCGCGGGCAGCGCUGUCCUGGGCCGACUGCCUCCGCCGGGCCGCCCCCGCAGCUUUGUCAACUUCCUUGGAUAUUGGGCUGAGUAACUGGAGCUUCCUGUACGUCACUGUCUCCCUCUACACGAUGACCAAAUCCUCUGCCAUUCUCUUCAUCCUGCUUUUUUCACUGCUCUUCAAGCUGGAGGAAAUGAGGGUGACGUUGCUGCUGGUGGUUCUGCUCAUCGCUGGGGGACUCUUCAUGUUCACCUACAAGUCCACACAGUUCAAUGCCCAGGGGUUUGUGCUGGUGCUCUGUGCCUCUUUCCUGGGGGGCAUUCGCUGGACUCUCACACAGAUACUGAUGCAGAAGGCUGAGCUGGGGCUCCAGAAUCCCAUUGAUAUCAUGUUUCACCUGCAGCCGCUCAUGUUCCUGGGGCUCUUCCCACUCUUUGCGGUGUUUGAGGGCCUGCCUUUGUCCAUAUCCGAGAAGCUCUUCCGUUUCCAUGAAGCAGGAAUGCUGUUCUCUCUGGUAGGGAAGCUGUUCUUGGGUGGAAUUCUUGCCUUUGGUCUAGGCUUUUCUGAGUUCCUCUUGGUUUCCAGAACAUCUAGCCUCACCCUUUCCAUUGCUGGCAUUUUUAAGGAAAUCUGUAUUUUAUUCCUCGCCACACAUUUACUGGGAGACCGCCUCAGUCUCUUGAACUGGCUGGGCUUUGCUGUCUGCUUGUCGGGAAUCUCUCUUCACGUUGUUCUCAAAGCCAGGAAUUCCAAAGGUGACAAAGCACUGGAGCCACAGAAAGAGGCCAGCUCUGACCCUGACCUGGAGCUGCUGCUGCGCCACCCUGAACAUGGUGAGGAAGAGGAAGAGGUGGCUGAAACCCCACAACAGAACUGACUGAACAUGAAGCACAAAGCCACCUGCUCUGUUCUAACCAAACCUGCCUGACAGCUAUCCAGGAUGAAGGUCCAAAAGUCUCUGUGACCACCCAGAGUAGAGCCAGGGCCUGGAACUUCCAUCCUGGUGGAUCAUAUGACUGAAUAAAUCCCUAGAGUUGUCCCAGUGAGAAGGACCAUUUGUGCCUGGGGACCUCCAUGUUCUGUGUGCAUAGUAAGGACAGAAUUAAAUGCUGGUAUUUGGGACCAAUUGAAAAUUAUGAACAUUUCCAGAUGAUGUUGGUUGGAGGGACGACAGGGAUACAUGAGUACUUCUGGUGCUACAGGCCAAGAGGAGAAUGAGCAGUGUCACAGGAGAUCUAACUUGAGCAAUAAACUUGCCAGAAAGUAUGUGGGAUUUUGAGGGGGGGGGGGUUUGUUUUUUAAAUAAACUCUUU